CUUCAGACCCCAUCUACAAAUCCAGUAUGGCAAGGCACUAAGAGCCAACUCUUCUUUGUGAAAUUUUAUAUUGUAGCAUUCCAGUGUCCGAUCAAGGUGUCAUGGUGACACCCAAUUUAAAUGACUUCAAAGACCUGUUUGUAGCUACAGGUCCCUAUCUAGAUGUACGAUCAGAGACAUUGCCAGCAGGGUUUACCACUGAAGAUGAGAUUACCAAGUUAUUUCAGACACAGGAAGUGUUUAUGAGAAUGUUCACACUUCUGCUAUCGUCUUCAACUCACCCCCUCUUCAUAACCAUAAGCUGCACCUUAACGGAAACCUCAUCACUGCUUGGCACAACGGCAGAUAAAUAUGUCUGAAGAGAUUGUCUACUCUGCUAUAAAGUUAAAGGGCAAUAGUAGAGAGUCAGAGAACAUAGGAACUAAAGAGCAUGGGAAAGGAAAGGAACAUAUUGGUGAUGUUGAAUACGCUGCUGUCACUUUCAGAAGAAAUGAAAUGCAUAAUCAAAAACAACAUCCAACAGGGUGUCGCAACUAUUUCAGGCUAGCUGGUGCCACUCUCUUUAUUCUGCUUAUAUGUGCGGCCGUGGUUCUAUUCAUAAUGUGUGAGUAUCACAAGCAUUACCUUGAUACCAGAACUGUAUAUGACAAUUUAAGUAAAGGUUAUUAAGUACAAUUCUACUGUUUGCAAAAUAAUUCUGUAAUUCAUAGUGAGACACGUGCCACGCAGUGAACAGAACUGGUUUGAUGAGUAUUGUGGUUCAGUUAAUAACAGAAUAUGUGAAGACUAGUCCAAGCAAAUUUAGAAACAUGGAAAGUCCUCAUUCAGGUUGACCAAGAUGUGGAAUUCUUAGCAGGAAACGAUUUUUAAUAUUUGAAUGAUUAAUCAAUUAAAUUCAUUUUUUAUGGUGAUACAAAGCAUUGUCCAAGAUAAUGAAGUUUUUCUAACUCAUAGGCUAUUUUCACCUGGCAUUAAAAUGCAUCCCGUAUCCUGAUUGUAUCUAGAUAUGAUUUUAACCUGAUAUAUUUACACCUGGACAUGUGUCUCCAGUGUUUCCAGAAGUACGUAAUAACAUAUUUCCACCCACAAAGUUGUUGUAUGUGAAUUGACAAGAAGUAAAAAAAAAAAAGCAGUUACAUAAAAAGAGGGAAGUAUUUUGCCAGAAAGGAUGAAGUAGCAGAAGACAAUCCUUAAUUUUGGCCUUGAAAAGGUAUCAGUGUGAUACUGACAUCCAAGUGUGGAAUGAUUGAAGAGAGUGAACUUUCUGGGGUAUAAAGGAUACAUGAUUAGAGAUGUGCUUGGGAUUCACUAGGCCAUUUGUACAGUUGUGAGAAUCUCCCUUUGUAAUGAGCUCUUGACAUUGUAUCUUUCUGUAAUAAAAUCUUCUUUGAUUUCAUCUUGAUUCACUGCUACAUUUUUCCUACAAUGUGACAGGAGGUCUUUUAGAGAAGAAGGAGGAGUUUAGAGAAAGUAGGCUAAUGCAGAGCAUGUUUGGAGUGUGAAGAAAGGAAAAAUAAGGGAAAUAUAAAGUAGAUAGGGGUUCGUUUAACAAAUGGA
ensembl:lncRNA